rnacentral:rRNA from 1 species
GGAGGGUGCAAGCGUUAUCCGGAUUCAUUGGGUUUAAAGGGUCCGUAGGCGGAUCUUUAAGUCAGUGGUGAAAUCCUGCAGCUCAACUGCAGAACUGCCAUUGAUACUGGAGAUCUUGAGUGUAUUUGAAGUGGGCGGAAUGUGUCAUGUAGCGGUGAAAUGCAUAGAUAUGACACAGAACACCGAUUGCGAAGGCAGCUCACUAAACUACUACUGACGCUGAGGGACGAAAGCGUGGGGAGCGAACAGGAUUAGAUACCCCUGGUAGUCCCACGCCCGUAAACGAUCAUCACUCGCUGUUGGCGAUACACAGUCAGCGGCCCAAGCGAAAGCAUUAAGUGAUGCACCUGGGGAGUACGGUCGCAAGAUUG